rnacentral:rRNA from 1 species
AGAACGAACGCUGGCGGCAUGCCUAAUACAUGCAAGUCGAACGAACACUUCGGUGUUAGUGGCGCACGGGUGCGUAACGCGUGGGAAUCUGCCCUUGGGUUCGGAAUAACAGUUGGAAACGACUGCUAAUACCGGAUGAUAUCGAAAGAUCAAAGAUUUAUCGCCCAGGGAUGAGCCCGCGUAGGAUUAGCUAGUUGGUGAGGUAAAGGCUCACCAAGGCGACGAUCCGUAACUGGUCUGAGAGGAUGAUCAGUCACACUGAACUGAGAUACGGUCCAGACUCCUACGGAGGCAGCAGUGGGGAAUA